UACGUAGGGUGCGAGCGUUAAUCGGAAUUACUGGGCGUAAAGCGUGCGCAGGCGGUCCGCAAAGUCUGAUGUGAAAGCCCCGGGCUCAACCUGGGAACUGCAUUGGAAACUAACGGGCUCGAGUGUGGCAGAGGGGGGUGGAAUUCCACGUGUAGCAGUGAAAUGCGUAGAGAUGUGGAGGAACACCGAUGGCGAAGGCAGCCCCCCUGGGCUGAGAUUGACGCUCAGGCACGAAAGCGUGGGGAGCGAACAGGG
rnacentral:rRNA from 1 species